rnacentral:lncRNA from 1 species
GUUGUAACUACGGUUCAACACUGAAUCCCGAAUAGAUUUAGUAUAAACUUCUCCGUUCCUGUGACGCCAGCACCGACCCCGCCUUUACCUGGUUCUAUUCAUUCUGAAGACUCUAAAUUCUGAUGUCCAGUUGAACUAAAUUGUGGAGCCUGGUCUUCCUACUUAACUUCUUCUCUGGAUGAAUACUUAAUUACCAUCAAAACUUCCGGCGCUUCCCGUGGAUGAAGACCCAAUUAAGAAGAUCCAACCUUGAACCUCUCCUAAUAAAAUUUGAUGGUUCUCUUAU